rnacentral:lncRNA from 1 species
UUUGGAUGUCGGAGUUUCAGCAUCGUGCUCUACUACAGCAACUUCGGUGAUUAAAACAUGGCCAUUCUACAUUUUGUCCUUCAAUAUACUCUGCAAGGCAAAUGGGAUCCACUACCCGCUCGAAUCAUGCUCAGAGAGCCCUCUGAGUUGCUUGCCAAGACACGGUGCCUUCGUGACGCUGCUCUUCAGACAUUGUGUACGCCCAACGGACGCCACAAUGACUCAAGAAAUUUGCUGGGCAGUUUUAGAUGUCGGAGUUUCAGCAUCGUGCUCUACUACAGCAACUUCGGUGAUUAAAACAUGGCCAUUCUACAUUCUGUCCUUCAAUAUACUCUGCAAGGCAAAUGGGAUCCACUACCCGCUCGAAUCAUGCUCAGAGAGCCCUCUGAGUUGCUUGCCAAGACACGGUGCCUUCGUGACGCUG